CUCUCAGCAGAACACCUAUGGGCAACAGAGCAGCUAUGGACAGCAGAGUAGCUAUGGUCAACAAAGCAGCUAUGGGCAGCAGCCUCCCACUAGUUACCCAUCCCAAACUUGAUCCUACACCCAAGCUCCAAGUCAAUAUAGCUAACAGAGCAGCAGCUACGGGCAGCAGAGUUCAUUCUCACAGGACCACCCCAGUAGCAUGGGUGUUUAUGGGCAGGAGUCUGGAGGAUUUUCUGGACCAGGAGAGAACCGGAGCUUGAGUGGCCCUGAUAACUGGGGCAGGGGAAGAGGGGGAUUUGACUGUGGAGGCAUGAGCAGAGGUGGGCGGGGAGGAGGACGUGGUAGAAUGGGCAGCGCUAGAGAGUGAGGUGCCUUCAAUAAGCCUGGUGGACCCAUGGAUGAAGGAACAGAUCUUGAUCUAGGCCCACCUGUAGAUCCAGAUGAAGACUCUGACAACAGUGCAAUUUAUAUACAAGGAUUAAAUGACAAUGUGACUCUAGAUGAUCUGGCAGACUUCUUUAAGCAGUGUGGGGUUGUUAAGAUGAACAAGAGAACUGGGCAACCCAUGAUCCACAUCUACCUGGACAAGGAAACAGGAAAGCCCAAAGGCAAUGCCACAGUGUCCUAUGAAGGCUCACCUACUGCCAAGGCUGCCAUGGAAUGGUUUGAUGGGAAAGAUUUUCAAGGGAACAAACUUAAAGUCUCUCUUGCUCAGAAGAGGCCUCCAAUGAACAGUAUGCGGGGUGGUAUGCCACCCCGUGAGGGCAGAGGGAUGCCACCACCACUCUGUGGAGGUCUAGGAGGCCCAGGAGGUCCUGGGGGACCCAUGGGUCGCGUGGGAGGCCGUGGAGGAGAUAGAGGAGGCCUCCCUCCAAGAGGACCCCAGGGUUCCCGAGGGAACCCCUCUGGAGGAGGAAACGUCUAGCACUAAGCUGGAGACUGGCAGUGUCGCAAUCCGGGUUGUGGAAACCAGAACUUCGCCUGGAGAACAGAGUGCAACCAGUGUAAGGCCCCAAAGCCUGAAGGCUUCCUCCCGCCACCCUUCCCGCCCCUGGGUGGUGAUAGUGACACAGGUGGCCCUGGUGGCAUGCGGGGAGGAAGAGGUGGCCUCAUAGAUCAUGGUGGUCCUGGUGGAAUGUUCAGAGGUGGCUGUGGUGGAGACAGAGGUGGCUUCCGUGGUGGCCGGGGCAUGGACCGAGGUGGCUUUGGUGGAGGAAGACGAGGUGUCCCUGGGGGGCCCCCUGGACCUUUGAUGUAACCGAUGGGAGGAAGAAGAGGAGGACGUGGAGGACCUGGAAAAAUGGAUAAAGGCGAGCACCAUCAGGAGCGCAGAGAUCAGCCCUACUAGAUGCAAAGACCCCGCAGAGCUGCAUUGACUACCAGAUUUAUUUUUUAAACCAGAAAAUGUUUUAAAUUUAUAAUUCCAUAUUUAUAAUGUUGACCACAACAUUAUGAUUAUUCCUUGUCUGUACUUUAGUAUUUUUCACCAUUUGUGAAGAAAUAUUAAAACAAGUUAAAUGG